UACGGAGGGUGCAAGCGUUAUCCGGAUUUACUGGGUUUAAAGGGAGCGCAGGCGGAUUGAUAAGUCAGUGGUGAAAGCCUGUUGCUUAACAACAGAACUGCCAUUGAUACUGUCAAUCUUGAAUAUGUUUGAUGUGGGCGGAAUAUGACAUGUAGCGGUGAAAUGCUUAGAUAUGUCAUAGAACACCGAUUGCGAAGGCAGCUCACAAAGCCAUUAUUGACGCUGAGGCACGAAAGCGUGGGGAUCAAACAGG
rnacentral:rRNA from 1 species